GUAGCUCAGUGGUAGAGUGCUUGCCUUGCAUGCAUGAGGUCCUGAGUUCGAUUCCUAAGC
rnacentral:tRNA from 1 species